rnacentral:rRNA from 1 species
UACGUAGGGUGCGAGCGUUAAUCGGAAUUACUGGGCGUAAAGGGCUUGUAGGUGGUUUGUCGGCGUUUGUUCGUGAAAUGCCACAACUCAAAUUUGUGGGCGUGCGGGCAAUACGGGCAGACUGGAGUACUGCAGGGGAGACUGGAAUUCCUGGUGUAGCGGUGGAAUGCGCAGAUAUCAGGAGGAACACCGGUGGCGAAGGCGGGGUCUCUGGGCAGUAACUGACGCUGGAGGAGCGAAAGCGUGGGGAGCGAACAGG